rnacentral:rRNA from 1 species
GACAGAGGGGGCAAGCGUUGCUCGGAAUUACUGGGCGUAAAGGGCGCGUAGGCGGGAUGGCAAGUCGGUCGUGAAAUCCCUCGGCUCAACCGGGGAACUGCGUCUGAUACUGGAUGGCUUGAGUUUGGGAGAGGGACGCGGAAUUCCAGGUGUAGCGGUGAAAUGCGUAGAUAUCUGGAGGAACACCGGUGGCGAAGGCGGCGUCCUGGACCAAUACUGACACUGAACAGCGAAAGCCAGGGGAGCAAACGGG